rfam:Allomyces macrogynus ATCC 38327 genomic scaffold supercont3.71, whole genome shotgun sequence.
GUGAAGGUGGCCGAGUUGGUCUAAGGCGCUAGUUUCAGGUACUAGUCUCUUCGGAGGCGUGGGUUCGAAUCCCAUCCUUCACA